rnacentral:lncRNA from 10 species
UGGGGAAGUACUUUGCCACAGGAAGUGCAGAUGCUUUGGUCAGCCUCUGGGAUGUGGAUGAGUUAGUGUGUGUUCGGUGCUUUUCCAGGCUGGAUUGGCCUGUAAGAACCCUCAGUUUCAGCCAUGAUGGGAAAAUGCUGGCGUCAGCAUCGGAAGAUCAUUUUAUUGACAUUGCUGAAGUGGAGACAGACAGAGUCUCGUUCUGUCACCCAGCCUGGUGUGCAGUGGUUCAAGCCAUUCUCCUGCCUCAGCCUCCCGAGUAGCUGGGAUUACAGGCGCCCACCACCACGCCCAGCUAAUUUUUGUAUGUUUGGUAGAGACGGGGUUUCACCAUGUUGGCCAGGCUGGUCUCAAACUCCUGACCUCAAGCGACCCACCCGCCUCGGCCUCCCAGAGUUUUGCGAUUACAGGCGUGAGCCACCACGCCCAGCGGAAUUUCUUAUUCUUUUUGAUCUAUCAAAACAACCUCAUUGUUCUCAAUGACUGACCUUAUAAUAAGUAAAUGUUAUAGAACA